GACGAACGCUGGCGGCGUGCUUAACACAUGCAAGUCGAGCGGUAAGGCCUUUCGGGGUACACGAGCGGCGAACGGGUGAGUAACACGUGGGUGAUCUGCCCUGCACUUCGGGAUAAGCCUGGGAAACUGGGUCUAAUACUGGAUAUGACCUCCUAUCGCAUGGUGGGUGGUGGAAAGAUUUAUCGGUGCAGGAUGGGCCCGCGGCCUAUCAGCUUGUUGGUGGGGUAAUGGCCUACCAAGGCGACGACGGGUAGCCGACCUGAGAGGGUGACCGGCCACACUGGGACUGAGACACGGCCCAGACUCCUACGGGAGGCAGCAGUGGGGAAUAUUGCACAAUGGGCGAAAGCCUGAUGCAGCGACGCCGCGUGAGGGAUGACGGCCUUCGGGUUGUAAACCUCUUUCAGCAGGGACGAAGCGCAAGUGACGGUACCUGCAGAAGAAGCACCGGCUAACUACGUG
rnacentral:rRNA from 1 species